AUGAAAUGGCAGAUUGCUGGUUUUCAGUUUGAUCAUUAGUUUUAUUGUAUUUUGAAACUGUCAAAUUUAGCCUACCUAGAAGCAAUUUUUUUAAUUUUAUGUUGUGUAAAACAGGCAAAUGAUAGCUAAUUAGCUAAUGUGAAUUCAAUGUGCCAUUGAUACAUGUCCAUAAACUAUGUAGAAGUAACAUUAGUCAAAAUGUUUACACAGAGAUGAGCAUCCUACAAUAUUUUAAGAGGAAGAGGACAGAGGAGAACGAGCUUGUAAGUUGUAUGGAUAGCUACAUACAGUAUAUUCUAAAAUUCACAUAGUAAAAGUACUUUAGAUCAGUAAAAUUAGGCCAACGGCAUGUCAUCAGAGUUUGCAUUGAAACCAGUUCUGUGUCCUCAAACAUGUUACUUUCCUAGACAGGAGAUGAAGAGACCACAGAACAGGGAGAGUUAGGUCCAAGUGAGAAACAGGCUCUGCCUCAGCCUCUCUCCAUCACUGCCUCAGCCUCCCACCAUCACUGGCUCUGCCUCAGCCUCUCUCCAUCACCUGGCUCUGCCUCAGCCUCUCUCCAUCACCUGGCUCUGCCUCAGCCUCUCUCCAUCACCUGGCUCUGCCUCAGCCUCUCUCCAUCACCUGGCUCUGCCUCAGCCUCUCUCCAUCACCUGGCUCUGCCUCAGCCUCUCUCCAUCACCUGGCUCUGCCUCAGCCUCUCUCCAUCACCUGGCUCUGCCUCAGCCUCUCUCCAUCACCUGGCUCUGCCUCAGCCUCUCUCCAUCACCUGGCUCUGCCUCAGCCUCUCUCCACACCUGGCCUCUGCCUCAGACUCUCUCCAUCACCUGGCUCUGCCUCAGACUCUCUCCAUCACCUGGCUCUGCAUCAGCCUCUCUCCAUCACCUGGCUCUGCCUCAGACUCUCUCCAUCACCUGGCUCUGCCUCAGACUCUCUCCAUCACCUGGCUCUGCCUCAGACUCUCUCUAUUGCCAGGCUCUGCCCCAACCUCUUUAUCACAAGGCUCUGUCCCAGCCCGAUCAUCUUCUAAAUGGUGUGUUUUCAUUUAUUUGUUCUUUUUUAAAUAAAGUAUGUUUUUAUACAGUUCAUAGUAUGUAGUCAUUUGGUUGUAGUUAUAUUAGAUUGCUUCUCUCUGUUUUUAUAAUCUACCCAGUCUGUCACUUUAUAUACCCUCCUACAAACAAAGUAGUACAAUCCAUUACCAAAAGUCAUUAGAAAUGAGCAUUUAAGUGCUUUAUAUGUGUAUAUAUAUAUAUAUAUAUAUAUAUAUAUAUAUAUUAGUUCACCUGGCUCUGCCUCAGCCUCUCUCCAUCACUGCAUCACCUUUUCCAUCACCUGGCUCUGCCUCAGACUCUCUCCAUCACCUGGCUCUGCCUCAGACUCUCUCCAUCAUCUGGCUCUGCCUCAGCCUCUCUUUAUUGCCAGGCUCUGCCCCAACCUCUUUAUCACAAGGCUCUGUCCCAGCCCGAUCAUCUUCUAAAUGGUGUGUUUUCAUUUAUUUGUUCUUUAUUAAAUAAAGUAUGUUUUUAUACAGUUCAUAGUAUGUAGUCAUUUGGUUGUAGUUAUAUUUAGAUUUGCUUCUCUCUGUUUUUAUAAUCUACCCAGUCUGUCACUUCAUAAACCCUCCUACAAACAAAGUAGUACAAUCCGUCCCCAAAAGUCAUUAGAAAUGAGCAUUUAAGUGCUUAUAUAUAUAUAUAUAUAUAUAUAUAUAUAUAUAUAUAUAUAUAUAGUAGAGAGAGAGAGAGAGAGAGAGAGAGAGAGAGACACAUCUCUUGAAGAGAGGCACAGUGGUAGAAACUCGGCAGCUCUUCUAUGGCAUUGUGUGACAGCUCCCUGAAAACAAACACAUAUAGAUUGUCUUUAAAUGCCAAGUUUCCUGAAGAGUGC
rnacentral:lncRNA from 1 species